rnacentral:rRNA from 1 species
AGAGUUUGAUCCUGGCUCAGAUUGAACGCUGGCGGAACGCUUUACACAUGCAAGUCGAACGGUAACAGCGAGGAAAGCUUGCUUUUUUCGGCUGACGAGUGGCGAACGGGUGAGUAAUACAUCGGAACGUGUCCGCUCGUGGGGGACAACCAUCCGAAAGGAUGGCUAAUACCGCAUGAGUUCUACGGAAGAAAGAGGGGGACCUGCUUGCAGGCCUCUCGCGAGCGGAGCGGCCGAUGACUGAUUAGCCGGUUGGUGAGGUAACGGCUCACCAAAGCAACGAUCAGUAGCUGGUCUGAGAGGACGACCAGCCACACUGGGACUGAGACACGGCCCAGACUCCUACGGGAGGCAGCAGUGGGGAAUUUUGGACAAUGGGCGCAAGCCUGAUCCAGCUAUUCCGCGUGUGGGAUGACGGCCCUCGGGUUGUAAACCACUUUAGUAGAGAACGAAAAGGAGCUAUCGAAUAAAUAGCUCUGCUGACGGUACUCUAAGAAUAAGCACCGGCUAACUACGUGCCAGCAGCCGCGGUAAUACGUAGGGUGCGAGCGUUAAUCGGAAUUACUGGGCGUAAAGGGUGUGCAGGCGGCUGAGUAAGACAGAUGUGAAAUCCCCGGGCUUAACCUGGGAACCGCAUAUGUGACUGCUUGGCUAGAGUGCGUCAGAGGGAGGUGGAAUUCCACGUGUAGCAGUGAAAUGCGUAGAUAUGUGGAAGAACACCGAUGGCGAAGGCAGCCUCCUGGGACGCAACUGACGCUCAUACACGAAAGCAUGGGUAGCAAACAGGAUUAGAUACCCUGGUAGUCCAUGCCGUAAACGAUGAUUACUAGGUGUGGGUGGACUGACCCCAUCCUUGCCGGAGUUAACACAAUAAGUAAUCCACCUGGGAAGUACGACCGCAAGGUUGAAACUCAAAGGAAUUGACGGGGGCCCGCACAAGCAGUGGAGUAUGUGGUUUAAUUCGAAGAUACGCGAAGAACCUUACCAGGUCUUGACAUCCGACUAACGAAGUAGAGAUACAUUAGGUGCCCUUCGGGGAAAGUCGAGACAGGUGGUGCAUGGUUGUCGUCAGCUCGUGUCGUGAGAUGUUGGGUUAAGUCCCGCAACGAGCGCAACCCUUACUGUUAGUUGCUACGCAAGAGCACUCUAGCAGGACUGCCGUUGACAAAACGGAGGAAGGUGGGGACGACGUCAAAUCAUCAUGCCCCUUAUGACCUGGGCUACACACGUACUACAAUGGCCGUAAACAGAGGGAAGCAAAGCCGCGAGGUGGAGCCAACCCCCAAAAGCGGUCUCAGUUCAGAUUGCAGGCUGCAACUCGCCUGCAUGAAGUCGGAAUCGCUAGUAAUCGCGGAUCAGCAUGCCGCGGUGAAUACGUUCCCGGGCCUUGCACACACCGCCCGUCAA